UUUCCGCUAGAGAACUGUGCAUUUUCCAUUUCAUGCAGGGACAGUCUCUUUUUGUCAUCCUGUUAUAAUGUGCAACCCUCUGUUCAGUUCAUGGCCGAGGAACAGAAUGUCUCACCAUGGGAGGCCCCACCCCCAGGGAGCCAACCCACGGCCUUGGUCUUCUGAGCAGGGGCAUUAACAGAGCCAGCUGCGCAAAAAGGAACUCAUGAGGCACAGGGUCCGUGGGCCAGUGGGUUUGGUGGCCAGGGAUGUGUGUGUGUCCUGGGAGAAACCGCAGGGCCUCAGGGUGCCCCUGGAAGAACAGCAGACCCCCUCCCUCUCUCACUGCAUUCAGCCAGCGUCCUCAGCCACUGCUGAGAGGCUGCUCUGGGGCCCAGCUCAGAGUCCAGCUCACAAGAGAUGAUCCAAGAAGAAAAGUCCUUGACCGUGUCCUUGAGAUCUCCAUAGACAAGUUUUGAGCUCUCAGUAAAUAGACGCUGAAUGAAUCCUGGUCCUGCGCUGAUGACACCUGAGGGCUGUUGAAGAGUGAUAGGCCCCAGCCUUCCUACAUUGGGCCUGCAUGUCCAGUAAAAGGGGAGAACCAGAGGAGGAAAGUCCAUCUUCUCACAGCGUAAGAAGGUCUGGAGACUUCCCAGGGGCUGUCUGACCUCUCCCAGAAGAGGAAGUGGGCUGGUGUGGACAGACCCUGAGGGGCAGAGCCCGCAGGGAGCCCAGCCCCUCUAUUCCACCGCAGAGGUCCCUAGAGGUGGGGCUCUAGUCCCCACACUGCUGUUAGGCUGCCCAUGCAGAGGUGUGGAGUUGACUCAGAGAUGCUCAGAAAUGACCUGGAAAUGGAGGGGCUAAGUAGCUUCAGGCUGCCCUGCUCCUCCUUGUCACCCUCUCCCUGAUAGCAACAGACAAGGCCAGGAGGCUCCUGGGAACCUGCUGCCUAAUUCCCA
rnacentral:lncRNA from 1 species